UACAAUUUUCGCACGUACUAAACUUAUGCCUAGAAAUCAUAAUAACAUUAUCGAUUUUGAUGCGAUAAUUUUUGGGUGUACCUACGGAUAUUCUUAUCACACAGCUCCCGAAUACAAUAUCAAUGUUAAAUACGCGCCUAAACACUCUUAGUCACUCGUGAAUAGUUGACGUGUUUGCACGUCACAAAGAAUUACUUCAUAAUGUGCUUAUCCUGUGUCUGCGGUUUGCUUUGCAAAAUCAUCAGUUUCAUCAUAUCCCUCCUGUUUAUAGUAGGUUUAGUGCUACUAAUAUUAUGGCUAACAGGAAUCCUCUUCGGUAAACCGGACUCUACUCCUACUCAUGCAAACUACGAGUCGAUACGCAGCAUACUACAUGCAGGAGGGGGAGGUAAUUGACAGGAAGUUGCAAGAGAAAAUAGCUUAAGUAAUUAUAGGCUGAGAUCCAAUGGGAGUUUUUUGGGAGGUGAUUGAAAUAUAUUGUUUUUUUUUUAAUUUGCUAUGUCUGCAUACAUUCUGGAGCGAUAUGUUUUAUACCCAAUUAAUUAAAGAUAAAGACUUUUACAAUACUUAUAACCAUUAAUAAAUAGUGACUCAGACGUUAAAAUUUUAAUACAGAAUUGUAAUAUCUUAUUAUAUUUCUUAGAAAUUUGAAAUAUCAUGAAUAUGUUUGUGAGUGAUCAGGCAUUCACAAACAGGUUCAGGUAGGAUGAAAUAGCUUGAACUUAUUAGAAUAACACCGAGUAGCACCUAGGUAGGUAUAACUAGUAAUGUACCGGAGAAUAUAUUAAAUCCCAUAAAUAUAAGACAGAAAUGAAAACUUAUUAAAACAUAAUGAAAUAACUGUGUAUCUUUUGAUAAAAAAAAACAUAUUAAGAAACUGGCGAUUUUGCCGGUAUACAUCUUCUUUAAUCAAACACGUCCUCAUAAUUUCCUGCUGGUUUUCAGAACAUUAGGUAGUAUUAAAUAAUUUAUUAGAGCGUUAGAUGGUACGUAUGUCACGUGAACGUGAAAAUGGAUUUGAAAAGUUCUUUUUAUUAUAUUGAAAAAAAUAUAUUAAUUAAAUGACUACGUGUUA